rnacentral:rRNA from 1 species
UACGUAGGUGGCAAGCGUUGUCCGGAUUUACUGGGCGUAAAGAGCGCGCAGGCGGCUGGGCAAGUCCGAUGUGAAAGCUUCCGGCUUAACUGGAAAAUUGCAUCGGAAACUGCUCGGCUUGAGGGUGGGAGAGGGUAGCGGAAUUCCCGGUGUAGUGGUGAAAUUCGUAGAUAUUGGGAAGAACACCAGUGGCGAAGGCGGCUCACUGGCCCGUAACUGACGCUGAGGUGCGAAAGCGUGGGGAGCAAACAGG